GAUGAACGCUGGCGGCGUGCCUAAUACAUGCAAGUCGAGCGAACAGACGAGGAGCUUGCUCCUCUGACGUUAGCGGCGGACGGGUGAGUAACACGUGGAUAACCUACCUAUAAGACUGGGAUAACUUCGGGAAACCGGAGCUAAUACCGGAUAAUAUAUUGAACCGCAUGGUUCAAUAGUGAAAGACGGUUUUGCUGUCACUUAUAGAUGGAUCCGCGCCGCAUUAGCUAGUUGGUAAGGUAACGGCUUACCAAGGCAACGAUGCGUAGCCGACCUGAGAGGGUGAUCGGCCACACUGGAACUGAGACACGGUCCAGACUCCUACGGGAGGCAGCAGUAGGGAAUCUUCCGCAAUGGGCGAAAGCUUGACGGAGCAACGCCGCGUGAGUGAUGAAGGUCUUCGGAUCGUAAAACUCUGUUAUUAGGGAAGAACAAAUGUGUAAGUAACUAUGCACGUCUUGACGGUACCUAAUCAGAGAGCCACGGCUAACUACGU
rnacentral:rRNA from 1 species